rnacentral:lncRNA from 1 species
AGCGGUUCCGGUGUACACGACAAAAACAUGACUGAAAAGUCAGAAAUAAUUCAACAACUUCACAUAGCUGUAGAAAAUGACAGAACAGAUAUUUUACGAGCUUUUAUAUCAACAAUAGAGCAAAGUAUGCAUGUUAUGAUAAUCGUCAGAGGGUGGAUGCAAAAGUUCUAACAUUGCACCAAAAUUGUUCCAAAAAUUAUAACAAACUUUUUUUAUAUGUCCAACUGUAAUUUGUGUUGCCUAACUUGGAAAGCUACAUUUUUUGCUCUGAGUUAAUGAGGAUUCAAAGCUGAUAUGUCAGUCACAAUGCUUACAUGAAUGUAAUUAGGUCACAGCAGGAACAAAUAUAUUGACCGGACUUGACACUACCAAAUAAUUUUCAGCCGAUUUUAUUGUCGGGUCAUUAUAUACAUAGUUAAUAAUGAUACAAUACUGAAACAGACAUGUGUUAAAACAUACUCGCUAUUAUCCUAAAAAUUUCUGGAUAAUAUCAAUAAAAUGUAUUUCAAACUAGUUUUAUAGUGAUUUCAGUGUAUCAGACUUGUAUUCUUCCAUUGUCUUCACUUCAAAUAUGUUAAAAUCACAUUCAUUUAAUCACAGAUUGGUAAAGAGAGCAUACAGGGUAAUAAAAAAAAAAUGGCUAGGAUUGCAUUUCCAAAUUUACAAACCAUUAUAAAACACUUCACAUCAAAUAUUAAUAAAUCAAACUUAUUUUGGUCAUUUUAUAUGACAAAAUAUAUCUACUUUAUGAUAAAACUUGUACCAUUUAUAUACGAUUAGAAUUAUGUGGUUAAUUUAUUGAGCAGUUUCGAUAGUUUUUCAGUCGGACGCUUCCAAAAUCCAUCAAUUUCGCCAGGUCUGAGAGUCAGAAAUUUUAUCAAUUUAAGGGCAGCGUUUUCACCACAAAAUCUAACCUGUGCAUCCGAGAAAGUUUUAUGGCAUGGAUGUACCCAGAUACGUAAAAUUUAUAUCCAAUUUAUGUACUUGUAACUUCCUCAAUUUUUGUGUGUAUUUUUUUCUAGUCUGCAUAGUCUUUUAGAUGGUUAAAAAGAUAUAAAUUAAACACUUGCAUUUCAAUUGAUUCUGUCUACCUUUUUUAAAUGCUUAUUGUUUGCAGACAUCUUCAUGUACAUGUAAUAUGUCUAUUGUCCUCUAUCGUCUAUAUAUUUAAUGUUUAUCAAUAUAAUUCACUUUAUUCAUUAUUACAAUGUAGAGGGUAGUUCUGAAACAUCUUUGCCAACUAAUUAAGUUUUUUUUUUUUGCAGGAACAAUUAAAAUACACAUCAAAAUCUGUUCAGUUUUUAAUAUUUUGAAAAAUGUACUUAAAUUUUAUUUAACGUGGUCCAGCCAUGCUUUAAAAUGUUUUCACAGGUUUUUCUUUACUCAGAGUAAAAUUCAGGGUGUAAAAUCUACAGCCAUAUUUGAAGAAGUGUUAUGAUGAACCUUAACCAUUGACUUCUAUCCUCAGGUCAUCUGGUAUUACUCAUUCAUGAAAAACAACUCAAGAUUUGUCAAUAUCAUUGGAUUUUUCAUUUUUUGUCUUGCCCUCAUGUUGACUAAUAUUUGAUUCCUGUGAAUUUUCAAUUAUGUAGCAAAAAUUAGGUAUUUGAUUUUUUUUUAAAUUUGAGGAUGUAAAAAUGUAAUUAUCAUUUUCAUAAAUUCUCAAUUAGUUGAAGAACAUGAAUGGAAAGUUUAAAACUUAUUAUAUAUUUAUGAUUUAUAUAUAAUUCUUAUUUACCAUUUAUUUUAGAUGAUGACCAUCAUCAGGUGAUAUCAAAUGUACUGAACAAUUGUUACCAUGACGAUGGCACAUUACUUCAUGUUGCUUCAAAGGUAAUUCAUUUAGUAAUGCUGUUAAGGUACAUGUAUAUUUGUUUCUUCUAACAGAAGUUCCCCUGGAACCUUUGAUAUAAACAAUUACAUGCAAUGCAAUAACAUCUGUCCACUUACAACUUCUGUUUCAUGACAACACUAUGUAAAUCUUACUUCUCUGAUACUAUUAUUAUCAUGUAACCUUUAAGGGUUUGACUUAGAAAAAAGCUUUGGAUUGAUGAAUUAUUCGUGUAAUGUUGUCAAAGUAAUCAAGCCUAGGGCUGUUUCUAGGGAAUUAUAUUGUGAAAUAACAGAUGAUUUCUGAAAUGAUUAUUCACCAUUAAAUAUAAAAAUAAGAAAAUCAUCUAUGAUUGUCAAUGAAAAAAAUACCUUACAACAAAGUCCAAUUGAAGUGAAUUUGAGCAACUAUAGGUCACAAGUACAGCCUUUAAUAAUGAGAAAAACCCUUGCCAUAUCAUGCAUAUAAGUCAGCUGUAAAGGCCUAGACAUGACAAAAUGUGAAACAAUUCAAAUGAAAAAAACAACUGCCUGAUAAAUGAAAAACUGUAAACCAAAAAAAAAUAGGACAUUUACCAACAAGCAGUAAUAACAGGCUCUACAUGCUCUAGAACUAGAAACUUUUACAAGAAAUUGCAAGAUAGGAGAAAACAUAAGGAUAAAUUAAAGUCUAUAAUCUAAAUGGAUGAUAUUUUUCGAGUCUCAAAUUUGCAUUAUAUAUGAUUUAAAAGAAAAGAUAAGAUAAAGGAAUUUUUAUUUGAAAUCAGACUCUAUUAGAAAAGUCUGUCUGUGCCUAGAGUUAAAAAAAGGAUUUUGCCAGACUACAAAUUCAUUUACCAAAUGUUUAAUGAGAUCAUGUCAAAUUACAAAAUACAUUGAUUUACAGCUAGGAAAGAUAGAUGUAGUAAGGACCUUAUUGUCAUCUGGAAGUGAUCCUGGUAUCCACAACUCUCAUGGUAAAACAGCAGUGGACUUAGCAGCAACACAAAACAUAACCAAAGUCUUUAAUGAAGAACUGUUACAGGCUGCAGCACAGUCUAA